rnacentral:rRNA from 1 species
AUUGAACGCUGGCGGCAGGCUUAACACAUGCAAGUCGAACGAGUGGCGGACGGGUGAGUAAUGCUUGGGAAUCUGGCUUAUGGAGGGGGCUAACGACGGGAAACUGUCGCUAAUACCGCGUACCAUAGGAUGAGCCCAAGUGGGAUUAGGUAGUUGGUGGGGUAAUGGCCGACCAAGACGACGAUCUCUAGUUGGUCUGAGAGGAUGACCAGCCACACCGGGACUGAGACACGGCCCGGACUCCUACGGGAGGCAGCAGUGGGGAAUAUUGCGCAAUGGGGGCAACCUGAUGCAGACAUGCCGCGUGAAUGAAGAAGGCCUUCGGGUUGUAAAGUUCUUUCAGUGACGAGGCGUUAAUCGCAGAAGAAGCACCGGCUAACUCCGUGCCAGCAGCCGCGGUAAUUC